UGAAGUGGCUGCAGACCAUCACCACGCUGCCGAUCCUGGUGAAGGGAGUGAUCACUGCAGAAGACACGAGGCUCGCCGUGGAGAACGGCGCGGCCGGCAUCAUCGUGUCCAACCACGGCGCCCGCCAGCUGGACUACGUCCCGGCCACCAUCAGCGCCCUCGAGGAGGUUGUGAAGGCGGCUCGCGGGCAGCUCCCCGUCUUCCUCGACGGCGGCGUCCGCCGCGG
rnacentral:misc_RNA from 1 species